rnacentral:rRNA from 1 species
GUCUUGAAUUGGGAGAAGUGCCACUUUAUGGUUAAUGAAGGUAUUGUCUUGGGACAUAAAGUUUCUGAAAGAGGUAUUGAAGUUGAUAAAGCCAAGGUUGAUGCUAUUGAAAAGAUGCCAUGUCCCAAGGACAUCAAAGGUAUAAGAAGUUUCCUUGGUCACACCGGUUUUUAUAGGAGGUUCAUUAAGGACUUCUCAAAAAUUUCUCGACCUCUGACUAAUUUAUUACAAAAAGAUGUACCAUUUGUCUUUGAUGAUGAUUGUGUAGAAGCAUUUGAAAUACUUAAGAAAGCAUUGGUCUCUGCACCUAUUGUUCAGCCACCUGAUUGGAAUUUACCCUUUGAAAUCAUGUGUGAUGCUAGUGAUUAUGCUGUAGGUGCUAUUCUAGGGAAAAGAGUUGAUAAGAAAUUAAAUGUUAUCCAAUAUGCUAGUAAAACUCUAGAUAAUGCUCAGAGAAAUUAUGCUACUACUGAAAAAGAAUUCUUAGCAGUUGUAUUUGCUUGUGCUAAGUUCAGAUCUUAUACUGUUGAUUCUAAAGUAACUAUUCGCACGAAUCAUGCUGCUAUUAAAUAUCUUAUGGAA